UCUACUGGACAGAAUUUGUGUGAGUAAUCAAGUCCAGAGAAUAUUAGCUGAAGUAUAGAAAUGCCAGAAAUUAGUUUACUGAGUAGUGACAAGCGUAUUUCUUCCACUAACACUUGUGCCCAGUUCAUUUCAACUUAUCCAGUUCUUCUUGUGUGUAAAUAAAAUGCAAUUAGGAUUUUCUUUUUCCAUAUGGGUUGCAGGAGUAUAAGCAUAGUCUUCAGCGCCUGGAGCUAAACGAUUUGUCACUGUGCAAGGAAAUCCAAACCUGCUGAACAGAAUGAGGCACCAACACCACAAACAUGACCAACAGGUCCUUUUUAGUGCCUCCAGUUAGCUGAGGUGAAGCUUUGUAGACGCCCCGGGGUCACAAUGUGUCACAAUGUUAGUGGGAUUGGGUUUGUAGAUAGAGUUUACACUAAAAGCUACAUUCACACUACUUUAUGGUUUGCACAAGAAGUGUUUUGAGUGGUGCUAUAUAGUUCUAUAUACUGCUAUAUAUAUAUGCCAGAUAAGGUCCUGCCCUCUAUUUACCUUCUGCCCAGUGAACCGUAAUAUUGGAGCUUCAAUUUGCCUAAUUCAGAAGAACAGCUGUUCUCACCCUUUACAGUGAAGGUUAGUCAGCUCACGGUCUACGGUCAGAGAAUAUCAAACUGUAACAGGCCCCAAGUCUCACCACCACUGGGACAAAAGCAUCAUCACCACUGUCAUCAUCAUUAUUUCUAAUCGCAGAAUAUUUUUGUUUCCGCUCUGGGUUUUUAUCAGCAGCAGCAGCAGCAAUGACUCAGGUCACCCAGCAUGCACAUCAUCAUUUCCUUUCAGUGACACCACACUUGUGUCAAGGACACAUCAGAAGCCAAGGAUUCAACAGGUCACUGUGGUGGAAAGUCCAUGGCAGGGUUUAAUCUUCAAGCCCUUCUUGAAAGAUUUGAGGUGUGUUUGAGCUCAUUAUCCUGCUGCAGCAUGAUUCCUUCCCCACAAAGAUGCAAACUGCAGAGUAAAGCAUUUCUAUGAAGAAUGGAGGGCUGCUCUUCCUUUGUCAGUGGAAAAGUCGAUUUGGACACCCCCUGAUUUGAAUAAUAUUUCACUGUGGGUUUGAUCAUCACAGUCAUGUUCGAGAAAUACUCGCAAAAUUGAAUCUACUGAAAUGUAUUCCUGGACAGAAAGUUUUUGGUGAGGUUUAGGCAAUAAAACUUCUCAAUUAGGUUAGAGAAAGAUCGCGGCUUUCAUUAAAAUGUGAUUCUCACUUUUGUCGAAGCUGUAUUUUCUUGGUUGCCAGCUGACAUGUCCCCUCAGAGGAUUACACUCUGAAAAAUAUAUAUUUUAAUUUAAGGUAUAUUUUGUGCCUGCAGAGUUAUGUUGUCUAUAACAAAAGACCAGUGGACUGCUUUAAUGGCACUGUUACACAUUUUUCUGUUUUGUAAGAUGUUAUCAUUCUCAGACUUCUGCUACUUCGGCUACUCAUCUCUAACAUGGAUUAAUCAAUAAUCUCAAUUUUUAACCCCAUGUAGGGAUGUUGCAACUCACAAGAACAAUUUGACCACAUCUGCAUUUCUUGAAAUGACAAAACACUUGACCUCGGUAGACAAUCUUUAUUUUCCAGGACUUAUGCUGAUUGGAGUCUUAGUUUUCAUUUUUCUUUCUUUUGUUUUUUUAGUAAAUUCUAUAUCUAUGGCAAAGUUGCUUUAUUCGAAUCUCUGUGUAUGAAGUUUGGUUGUCAUUUAAUCGUGUUCUCAAUUGUAAACGUGUCAUAAUCUAAAGUCUUUUAGACUGGUUUUACUUGACUAAAUGUAAGAUUAUCAUAAAUCUGAAAUCGAUUCAGUUGACUAAAAUAUAAAGUGUAAAAGUUUGUUGUGUUUUUACCACACGGUUCACAAAGUGUUUUAUUUUCCUUGAAGCUUGUCCUACCUUUCUACAAAAUGUCAUUAUUUCUGAUUGGAUCUCAUCUCUCAAGAACAUUUUUAUCUCAUGUUUGUUAAUGAAAAUGUAAAUCAUCACAGUUUUUGUCCUCGUGCAUCACUUUUUAUUUACUUAUUGUCAUGUUUUUAUCAGAAAGGUCAUUGACUAAAAUGAUUUCUUAAUGAAAUAAACACUGUGUCUUGC